AACAAGAUGCCUGAUUAAAGGAUUAUUAUGAUAUAAUAAAUUAGAUACCAAUGUGUAUUCUUGUUG
rnacentral:tRNA from 1 species